rnacentral:rRNA from 1 species
GAUGAACGCUGGCGGCGUGCUUAACACAUGCAAGUCGAACGGAAAGGCCCUUGCUUGCAGGGGUACUCGAGUGGCGAACGGGUGAGUAACACGUGGGUGAUCUGCCCUGCACUUCGGGAUAAGCCUGGGAAACUGGGUCUAAUACCGGAUAGGACCAUCGUUUAGUGUCGGUGGUGGAAAGUUUUUUCGGUGUGGGAUGAGCUCGCGGCCUAUCAGCUUGUUGGUGGGGUAAUGGCCUACCAAGGCGUCGACGGGUAGCCGGCCUGAGAGGGUGUACGGCCACAUUGGGACUGAGAUACGGCCCAGACUCCUACGGGAGGCAGCAGUGGGGAAUAUUGCACAAUGGGCGCAAGCCUGAUGCAGCGACGCCGCGUGGGGGAUGACGGCCUUCGGGUUGUAAACUCCUUUCGUCAGGGACGAAGCGAAAGUGACGGUACCUGGAUAAGAAGCACCGGCUAACUACGUG